AGAGUUUGAUCAUGGCUCAGAACGAACGCUGGCGGCAGGCUUAACACAUGCAAGUCGAACGCUCGUAGCAAUACGGGAGUGGCAGACGGGUGAGUAACGCGUGGGAACAUACCCUCCGGUUCGGAAUAGCUCAGGGAAACUUGGAUUAAUACCGGAUACGGCUGAGAGGCGAAAGAUUUAUCGCCGGAGGAUUGGCCCGCGUUCGAUUAGCUUGUUGGUGAGGUAACGGCUCACCAAGGCGAUGAUCGAUAGCUGGUCUGAGAGGAUGAUCAGCCACAUUGGGACUGAGACACGGCCCAAACUCCUACGGGAGGCAGCAGUGGGGAAUAUUGGACAAUGGGCGCAAGCCUGAUCCAGCCAUGCCGCGUGAGUGAUGACGGCCUUAGGGUUGUAAAGCUCUUUCGCUCGGGACGAUAAUGACGGUACCGAGAUAAGAAGCCCCGGCUAACUUCGUGCCAGCAGCCGCGGUAAUACGAAGGGGGCUAGCGUUGUUCGGAAUUACUGGGCGUAAAGCGCGUGUAGGCGGGUCUUUAAGUCAGGGGUGAAAUGCCAAGGCUCAACCUUGGAACUGCCUUUGAUACUGGAGAUCUUGAGUCCGGAAGAGGUGAGUGGAAUUGCGAGUGUAGAGGUGAAAUUCGUAGAUAUUCGCAAGAACACCAGUGGCGAAGGCGGCUCACUGGUCCGGAACUGACGCUGAGACGCGAAAGCGUGGGGAGCAAACAGGAUUAGAUACCCUAGUAGUCC
rnacentral:rRNA from 1 species